GCCGGGCAUGGUGGCGCAUGCCUGUAAUCCCAGCAGCUCGGGAGGCUGAGGCAAGAGGAUGGCAAGUUCAAAGCCAGCUUCAGCAAAAGCAAGACUCUAAGCAACUCAGUAAGACUCUGUCUCUA
rnacentral:sRNA from 1 species